GUGCUCACUUCGGCAGCACGUAUACUAAUAAUUGGAACGAUACAGAGAACAUUAGCAUGGUCCCUGUGCAAGGAUGACAUACAAACUUGUAAAGCGGUCCAUAUUUUU